rnacentral:rRNA from 1 species
CACGUAGGGCGCAAGCGUUGUCCGGAAUUAUUGGGCGUAAAGAGCUCGUAGGCGGUCUGUUGCGUCCGCUGUGAAAACUCGGGGCUUAACCCCGAGCCUGCAGUGGAUACGGGCAGACUAGAGGUAGGUAGGGGAGAAUGGAAUUCCCGGUGUAGCGGUGAAAUGCGCAGAUAUCGGAAGGAACACCGGUGGCGAAAGCGGCGCGCUGGACCUCUACUGACGCUGAGGCGCGAAAGCCAGGGGAGCAAACGGG